rnacentral:lncRNA from 1 species
AGCCGCGGCGAGCCCCAUGGCACCGCCGGGGGAGUGGAGGGCCGCGCCCGGGCGGGGAGGCUUCGGGGCGGCGCGGAAAUCCGGUAGGAUCCGAAGUCUUGAUGGCGCCCCGUGUUUACAGCCACCGAGCCCGGCUCCUCGCUGCCUCUGCGGGCGGCCCUCUGGAGCCGGGGCCGGGAGGGGGCGGAGGGGGAGGAAGCCGCCCCCCUUCAUCACUGCGGUGCCCCCCCAUCGUCACUUUGGUGUCACCCCCCGCUUCAUCACUGCGGUGUCCCCCCUUUCAUCACUUCGGUGCCCCGCUCCGUAUUCAUCACUUCGGUGUCCCCCCUCCAUGGUCAUCACUGCGGUGUCCCCCAUCCAUGGUCAUCACUGCGGUGUCCCCACCUUCAUCACUUUGGUGCCCCCCUCCAUGGUCAUCACUUCGGUGUCCUCCCCCUCCAUGGUCAUCACGUCGGUGCCCCCUCCCCCAUGUUCAUCACUUCGGUAUCCCCUCGCAGGAAGAGGAGAGGACUCGAGGCGGGAGGGCCGGGGCGGAAAGUUGGACGGCGCGCGGAGCGCCGCCGCCUUGACCUCACCCUCCCCGCCCCGGGGGACCUGUUGGACCGCGCAGAGCCAUCUCGCUCUGCAGGGGCAGGUGUGCGCUCGGCGGCGAGCCCCGCGCGGGUCCGCUGCGCGUCUGAGCCUGGAGCCUCCGUCGGGCUCCCACCACGACUCCCCAGUCCGGUGCGCCUGGCCCUGCUCGGGCCCUCUCUCUACCGAAUCUACUGCCGAGCUGAGAACGGGGCCCUUUUCACGGCCCGUCUGUCCUCCUCCGGCCGCACGGAUGUUUUCUUUGUCUGGUGUCCCAUCGGUGGCUGGGACUACUGAGUCAGACCUUUUUAUUAAUCUGCAUUCCAGGGAAGGGCAGUGCAUGACAGAUGACAGGCGAAAUAACUCAUACUUUUGUGUGGACACAUUUUCCCGCCCCCGGACCAUUUCACCGGCCAGACUGUUCUCCCCAAACAUCUCCUGGAUUUAUCCCAGCUUCACCAUUUAA